UACGUAGGUGGCAAGCGUUGUCCGGCUUUACUGGGCGUAAAGAGCGCGCAGGCGGUCGUUCAAGUCGCGUGUGAAAGCCCCCGGCUCAACUGGGGAGGGUCACGCGAUACUGAUCGACUGGAAGGCAGGAGAGGGUAGUGGAAUUCCCGGUGUAGUGGUGAAAUGCGUAGAUAUCGGGAGGAACACCAGUGGCGAAGGCGACUACCUGGCCUGUUCUUGACGCUGAGGCGCGAAAGCUAGGGGAGCAAACGGG
rnacentral:rRNA from 1 species